rnacentral:rRNA from 1 species
UUUUUGGGCGGUUUGUUUACACAUGCAAGUCGAACGGUGAACACGGAGCUUGCUCUGUGGGAUCAGUGGCGAACGGGUGAGUAACACGUGAGCAACCUGCCCCUGACUCUGGGAUAAGCGCUGGAAACGGCGUCUAAUACUGGAUAUGUGACGUGACCGCAUGGUCUGCGUCUGGAAAGAAUUUCGGUUGGGGAUGGGCUCGCGGCCUAUCAGCUUGUUGGUGAGGUAAUGGCUCACCAAGGCGUCGACGGGUAGCCGGCCUGAGAGGGUGACCGGCCACACUGGGACUGAGACACGGCCCAGACUCCUACGGGAGGCAGCAGUGGGGAAUAUUGCACAAUGGGCGCAAGCCUGAUGCAGCAACGCCGCGUGAGGGACGACGGCCUUCGGGUUGUAAACCUCUUUUAGCAGGGAAGAAGCGAAAGUGACGGUACCUGCAGAAAAAGCGCCGGCUAACUACGUGCCAGCAGCCGCGGUAAUACGUAGGGCGCAAGCGUUAUCCGGAAUUAUUGGGCGUAAAGAGCUCGUAGGCGGUUUGUCGCGUCUGCUGUGAAAUCCGGAGGCUCAACCUCCGGCCUGCAGUGGGUACGGGCAGACUAGAGUGCGGUAGGGGAGAUUGGAAUUCCUGGUGUAGCGGUGGAAUGCGCAGAUAUCAGGAGGAACACCGAUGGCGAAGGCAGAUCUCUGGGCCGUAACUGACGCUGAGGAGCGAAAGGGUGGGGAGCAAACAGGCUUAGAUACCCUGGUAGUCCACCCCGUAAACGUUGGGAACUAGUUGUGGGGUCCAUUCCACGGAUUCCGUGACGCAGCUAACGCAUUAAGUUCCCCGCCUGGGGAGUACGGCCGCAAGGCUAAAACUCAAAGGAAUUGACGGGGACCCGCACAAGCGGCGGAGCAUGCGGAUUAAUUCGAUGCAACGCGAAGAACCUUACCAAGGCUUGACAUAUACGAGAACGGGCCAGAAAUGGUCAACUCUUUGGACACUCGUAAACAGGUGGUG